GAUGAACGCUGGCGGCGUGCUUAACACAUGCAAGUCGAACGGAAAGGCUCCUGCUUGCAGGGGUACUCGAGUGGCGAACGGGUGAGUAACACGUGGGUUAUCUGCCCUUCACUUCGGGAUAAGCCUGGGAAACUGGGUCUAAUACCGGAUAGGACGAUGGUUUGGAUGCUAUUCUGGAAAGUUUUUUCGGUGUGGGAUGAGCUCGCGGCCUAUCCGCUUGUUGGUGGGGUAAUGGCCUACCAAGGCGUCGACGGGUAGCCGGCCCGGGAGGGUGUACGGCGACAUUGGGACUGAGAUACGGCACAGACUCCAACGGGAGGCAGAAGUGGGGAAUAUUGCACAAUGGGCGCAAGCCUGAUGCAGCGACGCCGCGUGGGGGAUGACGGCCUUCGGGUUGUAAACUACUUUCGCUAGGGACGAAGCGCAAGUGACGGUACCUGGAGAAGAAGCACCGGCUAACUACGUG
rnacentral:rRNA from 1 species